rnacentral:rRNA from 1 species
UACGGGCGGGGCGAGCGUUAUUCGGAUUCAUUGGGCGUAAAGGGCGCGCAGGCGGCAUAGUAAGUCAGAGGUGAAAUCUCCACGGCUCAACCGGGAAAUUGCCUUUGGUACUGCUGUGCUUGAGUACGGUAGAGGCAAGCGGAAUUCUCAGUGUAGCGGUGAAAUGCGUAGAUAUUGGGAGGAACACCGGUGGCGAAGGCGGCUUGCUGGGCCGUAACUGACGCUGAGGCGCGAAAGCCAGGGGAGCGAACGGGAUUAGAUACCCCGGUAGUCCUGGCCGUAAACGUUGGACACUAGGUGUAGAGGGUAUCGACCCCUUCUGUGCCGUAGCUAACGCAUUAAGUGUCCCGCCUGGGGAGUACGGUCGCAAGACUGAA